GACGAACGCUGGCGGCGUGCUUAACACAUGCAAGUCGAACGGUGAAGGGAUCAGCUUGCUGGUUCUGGAUGAGUGGCGAACGGGUGAGUAACACGUGAGUAACCUGCCCCCUUCUUCUGGAUAACCGCAUGAAAGUGUGGCUAAUACGGGAUAUUCUGCGCCUGCUGCAUGGUGGGUGUGGGAAAGAUAUUGUUUCGGUGGGGGAUGGGCUCGCGGCCUUUCAGCUUGUUGGUGGGGUGAUGGCCUACCAAGGCGGUGACGGGUAGCCGGCCUGAGAGGGGGGCCGGUCACACUGGGACUGAGACACGGACCAGACUCGUACGGGAGGGAGCAGUAGGGAGUAUUGCGCGAGGGAGGCAAGCCUGGUGCAGCGACGCCGGGUGAGGGAUGGAGGCCUUCGGGUUGUGAACCUCUUACGCAAGAGAAGCAGGCCUGUCCCUUGUGGGUGGGUUGACGGUAGCUGGAUAAGAAGCGCCGGCUAACUACGUG
rnacentral:rRNA from 1 species